rnacentral:tRNA from 1 species
GGGGUUGUAGCUCAGUGGUAGAGAGCUUGCCUUGCAUGCAUGAGGCACUGAGUUCGAUCCUCAGCACCG